rnacentral:lncRNA from 1 species
AUGUCAUCUGAAUCUCAACUGAUUCCAUUAAUUUUGACUGUGAAAGAGGAAGUCUCUCUCAGAGCAUCUGGUAACAGUCUACAUGUUCCCUUUGAUUGGACCACCCUAUGUCACAUGGUGACUGAUUGGCCUGGCCUUAGCCUUGGGUUCUACUUUUGGAACCAGGGGUGAACUCAACUUCCCUGGUGUCCUAUCUCCCCAAAUAAGAGGAUGGAAGCUUGUGGGAAAUUGGAACAUUUACACUGAUCAGCAAAUGGAUGGUGGCGAUUCAGUCAACCCACACACACUAUACUAUGGGACUUCUGAGAAUGAAACAACUUUAUUAAAUGUCUACUUAUGUACAUUUGUUAUCUAAUAUUAUAGACAAUGUGUCCACUAUGUUCAUAUUAAGGAGAGUCACCAAAAGAUGGAUUCAUAAGGGAAGGCUUCCUGGUGGAGGCAGACUCAAGGAGGUCCUUUGAGGACAGGUGUGAGCUGGGUGGGUGGACAGGGGAGGACCAUAUUCAGGUGUGUAAGAAUAGGGCCAAGACCAGGUUGUGUAAAGGGGAAGUGAACAUACAGAAAUGAAAAAGGGCAGCGAGGAGGACUCCCUGUGGAGGAAAGGGCCUGGCAGGAGAAGUCUCAUUGUUUAAAUCUUGGCUUUGAAACUCUGUAUCUCCAAAAGAAGAAAUAGCCAUGGGGAUCCUUCUUGUGAAGGGUGUUCAUAUGCUCCUUGUUAACAUUUUAUAUUACCAAGCUGUUUUACUUUUCUACUCUCAUUUUCUGUAGGUUUACAUCUGUAAAAUGGACAUAAAUGGACAUAAUAGCACAGAGGAUUGAUAUGAAAAUUAGAUAAGAUUAUAUCUCUUAAAAGAUCCUGCAAACUAUAAAUUAGUAAAUGGCAGGUAGGGAAGAAGGGGCCUGGGAAUGCAUUCGGAGUGUAACAGGGAACUAAGGGGGCAGACACAGGCUGUUAAAGUUAGAGGUAUAAUUGGGUCCCAUCUUUCCCCCUGGAUUUACCCACCACUCUGACUUCCUGAGGCCUCCACAUCUCCCUGUUUCCCCCUGGCAUGGCCAAAUCGUGUGACCAUGGGAAUGUAGAGGCAAGGAGAAGACUGGGUGUGGAUGUAAGGCAGCCCAGCUGGGCUUCAGGGAAGGCAGGGCAAGGAGAAGCAGUUUCUGAGAAGCGGCAGGAGUGCCCUAGGAGGAGACAAAAUGACUUCUAGGGUUGAGUCUGCCAGAGACCAUAAAAACCUCAAUGUAUGAAAUUAGCUUGAUUCUCUAAAAUAGUUACAUCAAGGCGGCUGUCAGGAAAUCAAUAGCACGCUGUAAUUAUGUCCAUAAACAUGCUGAAGAAGCAGGAGAGGUCAGAGGCAAAGGAAGGGGGGUGGCUGCAGCAAGGCCUUCCAAGACAUGACUCAUGAAGCUUGUGGGCACUGGAGCCACCCCAGAGGGGCCAGCUCCUUGCUGCUGCCAUGAUUAAUCCAGGGAGAAGGAAAUUCAAUUUGGCAAACAUUUAUUGAGCAUUUAGUUCAGGCCAGGCUGGAGGCAGCAGUGGUGGGCUAGGCUUUGGGUUGGUGGGCUGAGCCUCCCCAUCCAGUUCUUAUUUUGGAAACCUGCAGAGGGAGAAGUUACUGGAAUCGAUGUUUGGCUAGUGAAUUUGGGCCUUUUGGGGAAGGAGAGGAGAAGCCUCCGCAGACACCCCCAUUGUGUUUGGAUUUGCAAAUACAGCUAAUUCUGUUCCUGGGGGCUCCAGUAGCUGAUACAAAACUCUUUUGUACUCAAAAGCUCUUCCUUUAAAAUUUAAUACUGUCCUCUUUGGAGAGGGAGGCACUUAGCUCUUUGCUUUACCUAUAUUACUUCAUCUUCUCAAAAAUAUUGUGAGCUAGGAAUUUUUAUCUCCAUUUUAUAGAUGAAAAAAUUGAGUCUCAGUAUGAUGAAGUGAUCUUUUCAGCAUCAUAAUGAAAGUAAGUGGACAUUUAUGUAUCAUUUAUACCUUAUAGUCUGAAUUGCUUUAAUUAAAUUGUCACAGUGGCGAUCAGACCAAACUCAUGGCUGAUACUGAUUUUGCUCAGAAAAUUGGAAUGUGAGAAGAGGAGGUUUUGUGUGUGUGGGCUGGGAUUAUAGAGAGAAGCCAGAGGGUAAAUUUGAGCAGAAGAGGUAGGCGAGCAGUGGGCAGGUCUGGGUGAGUUUGGGUGUGAAUGGACUGGACAGAUGGGGCAGGAAUCAUGAAACCAUGGAUGGCAGCCAGGGGAGAGAUACUGAGUGAAAAGUCGGUGCACUGGGUCCUCAUGCCCUCCUGCCAUGAGCUCUGGGAAAAGGUCUCAAGACAUUCUUGUCCAGGGUCUGACUUGGACUGACCAGCCUGUGCCUGGUGGGUCUAUUCUAGGUUGUAAUUCUUUUUUUUUUAAAUUUUUUAAAUGUUUAUUUAUUUUUGAGAGAGAGAGAAAGAGAGAGAGGCAGAGAGGGAGAUAGAGACAGAGAGAGAGAGAGAGAGAAUGAAUGAGUGGGGAAAGAGCAGAGACAGAGGGAGAUACAGAAUCCAAAGCAGGCUCCAGGCUCGGAGCUGUCAGCACAGAGCCCAGCGUGGGGCUCAAACCCACAAACUGUGAGAUCAUGACCUGAGCCGAAGUCAGAAGCUUAACCAACUGAGCCACCCAGGCACCCCUCUGGGUGGAAAUUCUUUUCCAGCAUUUCACAGGAAUUGUGUAUGUUUUUCCAAAUGCAGAGAAAAAUCAGUUGAGAAAGUGGGAACACUGUAAAAAGUAUUACAAGUCUCCUGUGAGAAUUUAAGGGUAACAAUCAACAUAGAAACAUUACUUCUUUGAAAUAAUUCACUGAUAUCAAAUAGAAAAUCAGAGCAGGAAAUGCUGAACCACGGAGUUGGAAGGUGAAGGUCAAAGUGCCCAGGAACCUGGACAAGAGCAGGUAGGCCGGCAGCGUCAGAGCCUCAUCAAUUGGCCUUGCUUGCAGUCUUGCCACGGAGAAAAGUAUCCAUUGCCCUGUCUGCUGCUAAUGGUGAGCCACUGUUGCAAAUAAAAUAAACAUUAGUAAUAUUUAUAGCUAUAGA